AAUAAGGUGGCUGAGGAAAUAAAGGCGGUAAAUUGUAAAUUUAUUAACAAGUAAAAAAACUUUCUUAUUG
rnacentral:tRNA from 1 species